rnacentral:rRNA from 1 species
AGCGAACGCUGGCGGCAGGCCUAAUACAUGCAAGUCGAACGGACCCUUCGGGAUUAGUGGCGGACGGGUGAGUAACACGUGGGAACGUGCCCUUUGGUUCGGAACAACUCAGGGAAACUUGAGCUAAUACCGGAUAAGCCCUUCGGGGAAGGAUUAUCGCCAUUGGAGCGGCCCGCGUCGGAUUAGGUAGUUGGUGGGGUAACGGCCUACCAAGCCUACGAUCCGUAGCUGAUCUGAGAGGAUGAUCAGCCACACUGGGACUGAGACACGGCCCAGACUCCUACGGGAGGCAGCAGUGGGGAAUCUUGGACAAUGGGCGCAAGCCUGAUCCAGCCAUGCCGCGUGAGUGAAGAAGGCCUUAGGGUUGUAAAGCUCUUUUACCAGGGACGAUAAUGACGGUACCUGGA